rnacentral:rRNA from 1 species
UACCAGCACCCCGAGUGGUCGGGACGAUUAUUGGGCCUAAAGCAUCCGUAGCCGGUUCUACAAGUCUUCCGUUAAAUCCACCUGCUUAACAGAUGGGCUGCGGAGGAUACUAUAGAGCUAGGAGGCGGGAGAGGCAAACGGUACUCAGUGGGUAGGGGUAAAAUCCUCUGAUCCACUGAAGACCACCAGUGGCGAAGGCGGUUUGCCAGAACGCGCUCGACGGUGAGGGAUGAAAGCUGGGGGAGCAAACCGG